GGGCCCGCACAAGCAGCGGAGCAUGUGGUUUAAUUCGACGCAACGCGAAGAACCUUACCUGGGCUUGACAUGUUCCUGACCGCCCUGGAAACAGGGUUUCCCUUCGGGGCAGGAUCACAGGUGGUGCAUGGCUGUCGUCAGCUCGUGUCGUGAGAUGUUGGGUUAAGUCCCGCAACGAGCGCAACCCCCGUCGCAUGUUGCCAGCAUUUAGUUGGGGACUCAUGCGAGACUGCCGGUGACAAACCGGAGGAAGGUGGGGAUGACGUCAAGUCAUCAUGCCCCUUAUGUCCAGGGCUACACACGUGCUACAUUGGCGCGUACAGAGGGCUGCGAUACCGUGAGGUGGAGCGAAUCCCUUAAAGCGCGUCUCGGUUCGGAUUGCAGGCUGAAACCCGCCUGCAUGAAGGCGGAGUUGCUAGUAAUCGCGGAUCAGCAUUGCCGCGGUGAAUACGUUCCCGGGCCUU
rnacentral:rRNA from 1 species